AACGCGAAGAACCUUACCAAAUCUUGACAUCCUUUGACCGCUCUAGAGAUAGAGUCUUCCCCUUCGGGGGACAAAGUGACAGGUGGUGCAUGGUUGUCGUCAGCUCGUGUCGUGAGAUGUUGGGUUAAGUCCCGCAACGAGCGCAACCCUUAAGCUUAGUUGCCAGCAUUAAGUUGGGCACUCUAAGUUGACUGCCGGUGACAAACCGGAGGAAGGUGGGGAUGACGUCAAAUCAUCAUGCCCCUUAUGAUUUGGGCUACACACGUGCUACAAUGGACGGUACAAAGGGCAGCGAAACCGCGAGGUCAAGCAAAUCCCAUAAAGCCGUUCUCAGUUCGGAUUGUAGUCUGCAACUCGACUACAUGAAGCUGGAAUCGCUAGUAAUCGUAGAUCAGCAUGCUACAGUGAAUCCGUUCCCGGGUCU
rnacentral:rRNA from 1 species